UGUCAGUGAUAGAGGAGGUGUGUCACUGGGGACAGGCCUUGGGAUUGACAGCCCAGCCUCCCUUGCUAACUCACCUUUUCUUCUUGCCUGCUGAU
rnacentral:miRNA from 1 species